GACGAACGCUGGCGGCGUGCUUAACACAUGCAAGUCGAACGAAGAGCGAUGGAAGCUUGCUUCUAUCAAUCUUAGUGGCGAACGGGUGAGUAACGCGUAAUCAACCUGCCCUUCAGAGGGGGACAACAGUUGGAAACGACUGCUAAUACCGCAUACGAUCUAAUCUCGGCAUCGAGGAUAGAUGAAAGGUGGCCUCUACAUGUAAGCUAUCACUGAAGGAGGGGAUUGCGUCUGAUUAGCUAGUUGGUGGGGUAACGUCCCACCAAGGCGAUGAUCAGUAGCCGGUCGGAGAGGAUGAACGGCCAAAUUGGGACUGAGACAAGGCCCAGAAUGCUACGGGAGGCAGCAGUGGGGAAUCUUCCGAAAAGGACGAAAGUCUGACGGAGCAACGCCGCGUGAGUGAUGACGGCCUUCGGGUUGUAAAGCUCUGUUAAUCGGGACGAAAGGCCUUCUUGCGAAUAGUGAGAAGGAUUGACGGUACCGGAAUAGAAAGCCACGGCUAACUACGUG
rnacentral:rRNA from 1 species